rnacentral:lncRNA from 1 species
GCUCCUGGCGUAGCCACUCUGUCACCGGGAUGGGCCCGAGACCCCCUGGGGAGGACGGGGUGGGCCAAUUCUGCUCUCCCCUUCCCCCUGGAGAUGAUGCGCUGCUUUCCCAGGACCCGGCCAGCCUAGGAGGGAGGGCCAGUGGUCGAGCGAACCCAGCGAGGGGCCCAGAAAAGAGAAGGCCGAGGAGGAGGAAGGCCACGCCGCUCCUCGGCGUUCCUCUGCCUCUACGGAUGCCGACCGGGAAUUUCGAAUGGAACGAGACCGUCGUCCGGAGGAUACCCUCAGACAGAGGACCAGAGGAAGAACCCGCGGGCUGGGAUGGAGGCCUGGACGAGUCCAGAGAGCCUCCCCCUCCCGACUCCAAUCCAUUCUGAUAUCCCACCUCUUCCAACAGUCUUUCCUCGAUUAAAUCCCGCCCCACCAAGUUGUAUAAAUCCAUCAGUCGACUCUAAAACCCGUGCUAUUGUUCAUUCCCAUCCUCAGCGUGCUCGUAAUAAUAAUAAUAAUAAUGAUAAUGUUGGUAUUUGUUCAGCGCAUACUACGUGCAGAGCACCGUUCUAAGCGCCGGGGGAGAUACAGGGUCAUCAGGUUGUUCCACGUGAGGCUCACAGUCUUAAUCCCCCUUUUACAGAUGAGGUCACUGAAGCACAGAGAAGUGAAGUGACUUGCCUACAGUCACCCAGCUGAAAGGAGGUAGAGCUGAGAUUUGAACCCAUGACCUCUGACUCCCAAGCCCGGUCUCUUUCCACUGAGCCACGCUGCUUCUCUGUGCAUGCUUAUUCGAUUGUGCAGAGAAUUGUUUUGAUUACUCUCUCUCUUUCUCUCUGUCUCUAUAAUAAUAAUAAUAAUGUUGGUGUUCGUUAAGCGCUUACUACGUGCAGAGCACUGUUCUAAGCGCUGGGGGAGAUACAGGGUCAUCGGGUUGUCCCACGUGAGGCUCGCAGUCUUCAUCCCCAUUUUACAGAUGAGGUCACGGAGCCACAGAGAAGUUAAGUGACUUGCCCACGGUCACCCAGCUGACAAGGGGCAGAGCCGGGAUUCGAACUCAUGACUUCUGACUCCCAAGCCCGGGCUCUUUCCACUGAGCCACGUACAUACCCUCUCCAUCCCUAUUCUCCUUCCCACUUAAGAUGUGAGCCUCAUGUGGGACAGGGACUGUGUCCGAUCUGCCUCCAUUAUCCCUUGUUUUGUGCUUUCCAAGUGCUUAGCGUAAUGCACUGCACCGCAUGUGCUCUCAUUAGAUGCUAUUACUCUCCCCAGAAGAUUUCGAGUGUAAUACCCUGAGUACAGAAGGCACUCAGCGUGCGCCAAGACGGUACACAGGGCGGGCCCGGAUUGCUCCGAAAAGAGUAGGGAUUUAGAUCAGUGCUCUGUAAGCAGGAGGUGCUCAGUAUACGCACACUAGGCACUCAGUAUAGUGGUCUGCAAAGAGGAGGGGCUCAGAGGCCUGGACUUCCGAUCCCAGCUCCACCACUCGCCUGUUGUGUGGUCUUGGGCAAGUCACUAAAAGUCUCAGGGCCUCAGUUUCCUCAACACCUGUUCUUCCUUCCCCUCAGACUUUGAGCCUCACUGGGACAGGGACUACGCCAGACCUGGCGAUCUCGUGAGCUCAGUAUAGUUCUUGAGCUUGUAACAGACACCGUAAUUUAGUAUUGAAUAGGUGCCCAGUACAGGAUCCUGCACACAGUAAACACUCAGUACAGUCCUCUGCGAACAACGGGUGCUCAGUGUCGUGAUCGGCACCCGGGGGGUUCCUGGUACAGAGCCCUGCAUAGAGUAAGCACUCGAUAUACCUACUGUCGGUAAUGCUGAUGAAACCUUGCCCUUCCCCGAAGAGCGGGAACGAGAGGAGACCCAAAUCUCGGAGGGGAAAAACCCCCCCAGGCGAAGCGACCCCGGCCGUGCGUGCGUUCGGAAGAGACGGAGAGACCGAGCAACAGGAGAGACGCCAGCCCUGGCCCGUAUAAAUAUAGAAUCCUUUAUUUCCGGUUAAUAGCUACAAUACAGUUUCGACUAGAUAAUAAAAAGCGAGAGGUUCUCAUUUCUUUCAGUGCACACGUUUCUCAGGCAGACCGGAGAGUACGCGCGCGUGCACGCGUAUUCCCCCCCACACAUACAGACACACGUGUCCAGGAUGAACGCCCUAAUCCCGGCCUCUGCUUGAUUUUCCUUUAACCCGAGGAGGAAUGGGCUUCCUGGCUUUCAUUCGUUAAUGGGCCCGACAGGCCAAGGAGGGGCUCGGCGCAAGGGGGCUCGGCCCCCCGCCUGGUAGCUUGCCCACCUGGCAUCUCCAUGCCCCACUCCCCUUCGGUUUACCGGAACGGCCAUGGGCUUCUUCGGGGGGAGGGGGGGGCUCACUUUUGGGGCUCGGGAAGGGCUUCCUCCCCUUGGCAGGGGAAACCCAACCUGCCCCUCGCCGAACCUGCCCUGCCCUCCCCACCCCGCCCCCGGCUCUUUGGCAUUCCCCGGCAACUCGGCCCCUGGGCGGUCUCAGCUCUCUCCGGGACAGCCCCUGCAGUUCCAGUUAACCCAGGGAUAAAGCCCUGCCUCACGUGACCGCUCCCCCAUCCGCGACGGGGUUCGCCUUCCUUCGGGCAGAGGGGGCCGGAUCCCUCCCUCCUGGGGGUCCCUGCCCUUCCCCCCUAAAGGGGGACUCGGGACUAAGGGGUCAGCAAGUCCCCAUCCUGGAUUUUCCCAGCCAAGCUCCGGUUCUUUUGCAGACUGGGGGAACGCACGGCUGGGAUCCUGUCCGGGCAGCUGCGGGGGGACUGUAGUGGCAUUGCCCCACGGCUCUGCUCCUCGCUGCGGCUGGGGGCCUGAAACCCCACCUUUCCUCCUGGGGUCUCCCUGGUCGGCGGGGACAGUGUGGGACAGAAGCCCUCUGGGGACAGGGCCCUGCUCCCUCCGUGGGGAGACCUCGGUUCCCCUCCUGAACUGGGGCAGGCAGAGCCCGGAGGGGCCCCUGGUGACCACAGCCCCCGGCGGGCAGAGGGUGAGAGUCUCUACCGCUCUCUGCGGUACCCCUGGUGGGGGCCUGCCAAGUGGCGGGAUCAGAGGCAGCCUGGCCCCUUAGGGCAGAUCCCGAGAGGAACCGUAUUGUCUGGAGUGUGGGUGCAGGGAAGGGGGUGUAGACACAAGGCCCUCAUUUGGGCUGCCGGCUGGAAGACAGACUUGAGCCGUGGCCUCGCAAACCAGCCCGUGUCUCUGCCGCCCACCGCUCUGGGCGCUGACGAACCCUGCCGUAAGCUGGCAGAG